rnacentral:rRNA from 1 species
UACGGAGGGUGCGAGCAUUGUUCGGAAUAACUGGGCGUAAAGCGCACGUAGGCGGGUUCGAUAGUCGAUUGUGAAAGCCCAGGGCUCAACCUUGGAAUUGCAGUCGAAACUUCGAAUCUUGAAUACCUGAGAGGAUGGCGGAAUUCCCGGUGUAGCAGUGAAAUGCGUAGAUAUCGGGAGGAACACCUGAGGCGAAGGCGGCUAUCUGGCAGUGUAUUGACGCUGAGGUGCGAAAGCGUGGGGAGCAAACAGG